GGAUUCCCCUUCCCUGACGAGGACCGGGGGAGCCCGGUCGCUAGGCACCCGGGGAUGGGAGCGCGCGCUGUGAUCCGGGGCCGGUUCCCCGUCGCUUGGGAGGCCCUUUCCUCCCCGCCCCGUGGCUGGGGUCCCCGCGAAGCCCAGGGCCGUGACCGUUCAGGGUGGAGCAAGAGCGGCUUCCCAGAGAAACCGCGUCAGCUCUUCGGGGAGGCAGCGUGUGGCGGGCUCUGCUGCGCGCCCCGCUCCCUGCUGCUGCCGGCGGCGUCGGGGCCGAGGGGAGCCCCGCGCACGCUGGGGUCUGACGGGGGGUGACAGCGGAAAUGGAGCUAUUCAUGUACACGAAGUUAAUCAACGGGCGCGCUGCCUGGCUCCCCGCUCGAGGCUGACCCAUCACCUCGAGUAGGCGUGCGAGGGGACGGUAGGGAAGGGGGAGAAUAAUCUCUUCAGCUGACCAAGGAGCUAGGGAUGCAGGGCGGGGACAUGGCCGUGGCCCCGGCAGGUCGUCGACUCAAAGCUAAGCCAGGAGCGAGACCUGCCUGGUGUCCCCGAACUUGGCCUUGUUUCGUGAGCACAACGAACGCGUGUCCGGUCCAGGCUCGUUUGGAAACCAACAAUGGAGACUCGAAAGGGCACGUAGCGGAGGGUCAGAGUGCUAGCAGACUGUAAGCACGCUUAAUGGGGGCCCUGGAGUAUUCUCGGAAGCACCAUACUGGUUGAUGCGCUUUACAAUCCUUGGUCAGGAUCCCCAAGUUGCAAAAUAACAGGGGUCACAGGAACAAGAUAAACAAUAAAAGCACUUCAGUCCUGGAUAACAGAAAUAAUUUCAGCCUAGAAGCUGGGACUUGCUAGUGACAAUAUGAGGUAAAUUUUCAAAGCAGUAAGAAAUAGUUAUUUUCACAAUAUUUUUUUUUCAAAACAGGACUUUGAGUGUCAAAUUUUUGCACUGCUUUGACGUGCUCUGAUAUCUUCAUUUAAAAUAUAAUGUCUCAUAUUAGGCAACAAGACCUGACAGGAUGUUAACUGUGGGUGGAAUAAUUCACAGUUUGUACAUUAGAGUAGGAGGCCACAGGCUGACUUCUGUCUGUGCAACUCGGCAUGAAUUAUUAUAACAUACUUCAAUCCCUACAGUCCCUCCUUAGGUAAAAUAAACAUACUCCACCAUCAAAAGAAGUAAUUACAGCCGGUCCCCGAGUUACAAACGAGUUAUGGACCAAACACUUGGCCGUAACUCGAAGUAUUCAUAACUCAGAUCCCAUUGAGUUACAUGGCGACUGCGCUGUUCGUAAGCACGGACUGCGUU